GAAAAUUUUUUAGUAUAGGGAGUCGGGUCUGCCCGGUGAUAUGAAAGUAUUAAACGGCUGCAACGAGAGUUGUGCUAAGGUAGCGCGAUAAUUAGUCUCUUAAUUGGAGAAUGGUAUGAAUGAUUUGACGCAAACUAACUGUCUUUUUAAAAUAAAAUGAAGUUUCCGUUUUAGUGAAAAGGCUUAAAUUUUUGUAAAAGACGAGAAGACCCUAUCGAGCUUAAUUAAAGCUGUCUAUAGAUAGGCACUUGAAUUUUUGUUGGGGCAACAUAGGCUAAUAUAACAGUUGAAAGCUUUAUGAAGAUCCUUUAUUGAAAGAAAGUAGCAAAAGCUACCGUAGGGAUAACAGCGUAAUCCUUUUUGGGAGAUCGAAUUGAGGAAAGGGUUUGCGACCUCGAUGUUGAAUUAUGGAAACUUGUGGUUGCAGGAGCUACAAGUGUAAGACUGUUCGUCUUUUAAA
rnacentral:rRNA from 1 species